AGAGUUUUUGUAAAGACAUCCUUUUCUCUCUUGCAGCUUCUAUCAGGAUUUUAAGAGGGCAGGCAGAACUUUAAAGCAAAGGAAAUUGCUUGUUUUUGUGAAAUUAACCAGUCUGUUAUCAAGGCGGAGGACAAGAUACGAAUGCUAAUCAUUGUGAAGAAACUCAUUACGGAAUUUUCUCCAAUACAUAGGCAAAAGAAGUGGCUGUUAUCAUUUUGCACUAUAACCAGACAUAUAAUGCUGUUGCUCCACAUCCACGUCAGAGCUUUGCUGAAGUUACUAAUGACAUUUGUAAUGUGAUGAAGGGAGAAUAUACUAUGCGCUGCUUUCCAUAAUGGCUAAGAUAAAUGACUAUUACUUAUAGUCCUCAAAUGCAAGCCAUCCCAAUCCGAAAGCAGCUCUGCAGAAGAGGAAUGCGC
rnacentral:lncRNA from 1 species